rnacentral:rRNA from 1 species
UGGUGGAGUGAUUUGUCUGGUUAAUUCCGUUAACGAACGAGACCUUGGCCUGCUAACUAGUCGCGGCGAUCUCGAUCGUCGUCGACUUCUUAGAGGGACUUUGUGGCACUAAACACAAGGAAGUUUGAGGCAAUAACA